CUAUAAUACUCUGUAACUCUUUUCUUUUUAACUUUUUACUCUUGCUUUUCUUUUCCUUAAUCUCUCAACAUCGUGUUUUUCUUCGAAUUUAUUUUCAUUCACUGAUGCCGGCGGUGCUCCGACGAAGAUCAAGUAUUAUCAACUGAAUUUUUUUGAGAUGACUCUCUAAAUUCAAAUUAUUCUGCACUGUCAUCGUCGGUUGGCCGUUGUCGCUGUGGUGCUAAUUGCAGUUGUUCUUGCAGUUGAAACUCACCGGCAACGAAGUGUUAACUAAGAUCGAAAUCUUUUAUUCCGUUACAAAAGAGACCUGGAGGACGGCCAUUAAGUCCGCCGCCUCUUAAACUUGUUGAUCGUGAGAAGAAAGAGAAAGCAAUGAAAAAUGAGCAUUGUGGAAUUUUCUUUGGGCACAGGCUAAAUUCAAUGUUAAAGGAAGAAGAUUCUGCUAGUCAAUUUGGAGGUCAGUUAUUCCUACUGACUUGAUGACAAAGUAUUUGCAGAUGGAACAAGAAAAUUAAGCUAAACUUGUAAAGUUAGCUUUGAGGUAAAUUUUUCAAACUGACUUUUUUGUCCUUUAUAAAAUACUUGCUGGAGUUGGAAAUGUGUAUGUUUUUGGCUCUGUUUCAGGGGCUUCAACAGUUCGAAAUCUUCCUAUGGAAUGGUUUUAUUUCGGGGAAGGCAUCAGAAGGAGGCUUUGGAAAUGAGAUGUAUAAGAGAUCUUUUUUUUUUGAGAGAUCUUGAAUGAUGCUUUUAGCAUAUUGUUGAACUGGUCCCUGAUCAUUGGGUAGACGAAACAUAUUGAUUCUUUCUCAAGUCAAACAUUUGUGGAGAAAGAAUGAACGUCUAAAGAAAUAUGGAAGGCUUUUGGCUAUAAGGAUUGAUGAUUUUGAUACAUGCCCAACAAUUUAUUCUUUUCUAAUACUAUAUCCUCAAAGAUGUAGUUUUUAACUGAAAAAUAUAUUUGUAACUACUUUGCAAACCUAUUCCUAGAAUGGAUCAGUUUUUUUUUUUU